GAUGAACGCUGGCGGCGUGCCUAAUACAUGCAAGUCGAGCGAACGGACGAGAAGCUUGCUUCUCUGAUGUUAGCGGCGGACGGGUGAGUAACACGUGGAUAACCUACCUAUAAGACUGGGAUAACUUCGGGAAACCGGAGCUAAUACCGGAUAAUAUUUUGAACCGCAUGGUUCAAAAGUGAAAGACGGUCUUGCUGUCGCUUAUAGAUGGAUCCGCGCUGCAUUAGCUAGUUGGUAAGGUAACGGCUUACCAAGGCAACGAUGCAUAGCCGACCUGAGAGGGUGAUCGGCCACACUGGAACUGAGACACGGUCCAGACUCCUACGGGAGGCAGCAGUAGGGAAUCUUCCGCAAUGGGCGAAAGCCUGACGGAGCAACGCCGCGUGAGUGAUGAAGGUCUUCGGAUCGUAAAACUCUGUUAUUAGGGAAGAACAUAUGUGUAAGUAACUGUGCACAUCUUGACGGUACCUAAUCAGAAAGCCACGGCUAACUACGUGCCAGCAGCCGCGGUAAUACGUAGGUGGCAAGCGUUAUCCGGAAUUAUUGGGCGUAAAGCGCGCGUAGGCGGUUUUUUAAGUCUGAUGUGAAAGCCCACGGCUCAACCGUGGAGGGUCAUUGGAAACUGGAAAACUUGAGUGCAGAAGAGGAAAGUGGAAUUCCAUGUGUAGCGGUGAAAUGCGCAGAGAUAUGGAGGAACACCAGUGGCGAAGGCGACUUUCUGGUCUGUAACUGACGCUGAUGUGCGAAAGCGUGGGGAUCAAACAGGAUUAGAUACCCUGGUAGUCCACGCCGUAAACGAUGAGUGCUAAGUGUUAGGGGGUUUCCGCCCCUUAGUGCUGCAGCUAACGCAUUAAGCACUCCGCCUGGGGAGUACGACCGCAAGGUUGAAACUCAAAGGAAUUGACGGGGACCCGCACAAGCGGUGGAGCAUGUGGUUUAAUUCGAAGCAACGCGAAGAACCUUACCAAAUCUUGACAUCCUUUGACAACUCUAGAGAUAGAGCCUUCCCCUUCGGGGGACAAAGUGACAGGUGGUGCAUGGUUGUCGUCAGCUCGUGUCGUGAGAUGUUGGGUUAAGUCCCGCAACGAGCGCAACCCUUAAGCUUAGUUGCCAUCAUUAAGUUGGGCACUCUAAGUUGACUGCCGGUGACAAACCGGAGGAAGGUGGGGAUGACGUCAAAUCAUCAUGCCCCUUAUGAUUUGGGCUACACACGUGCUACAAUGGACAAUACAAAGGGCAGCGAAACCGCGAGGUCAAGCAAAUCCCAUAAAGUUGUUCUCAGUUCGGAUUGUAGUCUGCAACUCGACUACAUGAAGCUGGAAUCGCUAGUAAUCGUAGAUCAGCAUGCUACGGUGAAUACGUUCCCGGGUCU
rnacentral:rRNA from 1 species